rnacentral:rRNA from 1 species
GUGGGGAAUAUUGGGCAAUGGGGGAAACCCUGACCCAGCGACGCCGCGUGAGGGAAGACGGUCUUCGGAUUGUAAACCUCUUUCAGCAGGGAAGAAGAAGUGACGGUACCUGCAGAAGAAGCCACGGCUAACUACGUGCCAGCAGCCGCGGUAAUACGUAGGUGGCAAGCGUUAUCCGGAUUUAUUGGGUGUAAAGGGUGUGUAGGCGGGACUGCAAGUCAGACGUGAAAAUCAUGGGCUCAACCCAUGACUUGCGUUUGAAACUGCGGUUCUUGAGAGUGGGAGAGGUAAACGGAAUUCCUGGUGUAGCGGUGAAAUGCGUAGAUAUCAGGAGGAACACCGGUGGCGAAGGCGGUUUACUGGACCACAACUGACGCUGAGACACGAAAGCGUGGGGAGCAAACAGGAUUAGAAACCCUAGUAGUCC